rnacentral:misc_RNA from 1 species
GUUUCUUUUAAAAUGUCUUUUUUUAAAGUUAAAGUUCAAAAGAAUUGAAUUCUUUCACCUAUUAAAUUUCUAAACAUGAGAAUUGAAAAAAAAAAUCAACUAAAUUGAAUUCUCACAAAAUUCUAGUUUUUCAAACAGGCGGAUAAGGAGAUUAAAUGCAAGAAUUUCAACAAACACCCUAAACUUUGCCCAAAAAUUUCAAUAUUAUGCCCUGAAAAAUUGUGCUUUCAAAGUAAAAUAGAAACUAACAUUCAGUUUACACAGAAAUUGCUUAAGCCACUGUUUAAUCACAGUUUAUAAUCAAAAUCAAAGGGGCAAAAGAAAAAAAAAAAAGCACCUUCAAUUGAGGUUCCUUGCUAA